UACGAGGGGGGCUAGCGUUGUUCGGAAUUACUGGGCGUAAAGCGCACGUAGGCGGAUAUUUAAGUCAGGGGUGAAAUCCCGGGGCUCAACCCCGGAACGGCCUUUGAUACUGGAUGUCUUGAGUCCGGAAGAGGUGAGUGGAAUUGCGAGUGUAGAGGUGAAAUUCGUAGAUAUUCGCAGGAACACCAGUGGCGAAGGCGGCUCACUGGUCCGGAACUGACGCUGAGGUGCGAAAGCGUGGGGAGCAAACAGG
rnacentral:rRNA from 1 species